AGCGAACGCUAGCGGCAGGCUUAACACAUGCAAGCCGAGCGCCAGGUUUCGGCCUGGAGCGGCGAACGGGUGAGUAACACGUAGGUCACGUACCCUAUGGUGGGGAAUACCCCGGGGAAACUCGGAUCAAUGCCCCAUAUGUCCGAAAGGAUGAAAGCGCUUCGGCGCGCCAGAGGAUCGGCCUGCGGCCCAUUAUUUAAUCCUAGUUGGUGAGGUAACGGCUCACCAAGGGUACGAUGGGUAGCUGGUCUGAGAGGACGAUCAGCCACACUGGAACUGAGACACGGUCCAGACUCCUACGGGAGGCAGCAGUGGGGAAUAUUGGACAAUGGGCGAAAGCCUGAUCCAGCCAUGCCGCGUGAGUGAUGAAGGCCUUCGGGUUGUAAAGCUCUGUCGUGGGGGAAGAAGUUCUGACGGUACCCCACAAGAAAGCACCGGCUAACUCCGUGCCAGCCGCCGCAGUAA
rnacentral:rRNA from 1 species